UGGGGAAUUUUGGACAAUGGGCGAAAGCCUGAUCCAGCAAUGCCGCGUGUGUGAAGAAGGCCUUCGGGUUGUAAAGCACUUUUGUCCGGAAAGAAAUCCUUGGCUCUAAUACAGUCGGGGGAUGACGGUACCGGAAGAAUAAGCACCGGCUAACUACGUGCCAGCAGCCGCGGUAAUACGUAGGGUGCAAGCGUUAAUCGGAAUUACUGGGCGUAAAGCGUGCGCAGGCGGUUUGCUAAGACCGAUGUGAAAUCCCCGGGCUCAACCUGGGAACUGCAUUGGUGACUGGCAGGCUAGAGUAUGGCAGAGGGGGGUAGAAUUCCACGUGUAGCAGUGAAAUGCGUAGAGAUGUGGAGGAAUACCGAUGGCGAAGGCAGCCCCCGGGCCAAUACUGACGCUCAUGCACGAAAGCGUGGGGAGCAAAACAGGAUUAGAUACCCUGGUAGUCCACGCCCUAAAACGAUGUCAACUAGUUGUUGGGGAUUCAUUUCCUUAGUAACGUAGCUAACGCGUGAAGUUGACCGCCUGGGGAGUA
rnacentral:rRNA from 1 species